GAUGAACGCUAGCUACAGGCUUAACACAUGCAAGUCGAGGGGCAUCAGUUUGGUUUGCUUGCAAACCAAAGCUGGCGACCGGCGCACGGGUGAGUAACACGUAUCCAACCUGCCUCAUACUCGGGGAUAGCCUUUCGAAAGAAAGAUUAAUAUCCGAUAGCAUAUAUUUCCCGCAUGGGUUUUAUAUUAAAGAAAUUCGGUAUGAGAUGGGGAUGCGUUCCAUUAGUUUGUUGGCGGGGUAACGGCCCACCAAGACUACGAUGGAUAGGGGUUCUGAGAGGCAGGUCCCCCACAUUGGAACUGAGACACGGUCCAAACUCGUACGGGAGGCAGCAGUGAGGAAUAUUGGUCAAUGGCCGCGAGUCUGAACCAGCCAAGUAGCGUGAAGGAUGACUGCCCUAUGGGUUGUAAACUUCUUUUAUAUGGGAAUAAAGUGGUCCACGUGUGGAUUUUUGUAUGUACCAUAUGAAUAAGGAUCGGCUAACUCCGUGCCAGCAGCCGCCGUAA
rnacentral:rRNA from 1 species